CUCCAUCUUACAAACUUGCCUGUAAAAUAAAAAAAAUGUCAAUCGUCAAUAAUCGAAAAAUUAUAGAUAUAUAUAGAGAAAAUGCGUAAUCAUAAUAUUUUGUAUGUACAAACAUUGUAGAAAUCAAAGACAUAGAGAAAACUGUAUAUGAAGUGGGUAGCUAUGCAUAUUUUAUAUUUUCUCCUUGGAAAAAAAAUUAAAUAACUACGAAACUCAUUUUGCAAUAAAUUUGUACGUUGUCCAGGAGAUGUUUGCUGUAAUGGUUUAUAUGUUCGUCCGAUUGCGAAUAACAACAUUUUAUUUUUGUUUUUGAAAAUAAAUAGAACGAGAAACAGCAGAUUUGAUGACAACAGACUUUUCAGACAUUAUGAAUAUACUUUCGGAAAACUUAAUAAUUUAAUAUCUAACAUUGUUAAAACAGAAAAUAUUAGAUUCUGAGUGAAGUGAUGAAUGUAUAUUGGUUAUACAAUACUACGCAAUAUUUUCUCUGGAAAUGUAUCUACACCGAAUUUAGCAUAAAGAUUAUUAAUAUAAUAAAUUUGAAAUGAAAAUGGGAAAAUAUUUCCAGCUGCAACCAAUUCGCAAUAACCACCGUAGACAGUAUGCUUGACCAUUUCACGAACAUAAUCCUCAGCAGUGGAAAAGUUGUCACCAUUUGAAUUGUAAGACAUAGUAAUAAAGUUAUUCCAAUUAUCAAACACAUACAAAAAAAUUGUAUUUCGGAUCUCCUGACAUAUUUCUUGAGUGUUAAACAAAUGAAACGAUAUUGAACGAAAAAGGCAGGCACCAUCACUGAUAAUUGGUAUAACUAUUUGAGGUGUCAACAUUCCAAUGACAAAAAUAUCUUCAAUCGAUGACAUUUUUAAAAAAAAUAGUCAAACAAUUAAAUUGAAUAAAUUGAUUUUCUAACGUGU